rnacentral:tRNA from 1 species
GCACCUGUAGCUCAAUUGGAUAGAGCGUCGGACUUCGGAUCCGCAGGUUGGGGGUUCAACUCCCUCCAGGUGCGCCA